CCUGACGACGGACUUAUACUAGCAANUCNAGCNCAAGAGAGGAGCUUGCUCCUUGAUUGUCGGCGGACGGGUGAUUAAUGCCUAGGAAUCUGCCUGGUAGUGGGGGAUAACGUCCCGAAAGGAACGCUAAUACCGCAUACGUCCUACGGGAGAAAGCAGGGGACCUUCGGGACUUGCGCUAUCAAAUGAGCCUAGGUCGGAUUAACUAGCUGGCGAGGUAAUGGCUCACCACCGCGACGAUCCGCAUCUGGUCUGAGAGGAUGAUCAGGCACACUGGAACUGAAACACGGUCCAGACUCCUACGGGAGGCAGCAGUGGGGAAUAUUGGACAAUGGGCGAAAGCCUGAUCCACCCGUGCCGCGUGUGUGAAGAAGGUCUUCCGAUUGUAAAGCACUUUAAGUUGGGAGGAAGGGCAUUAACCUAAUACGUUAGUGUUUUGACGUUACCGACAGAAUAAGCGCCGGCUAACUUCUUGCCAGCAGCCGCGGUAAUACGAAGGGUGCAAGCGUUAAUCGGAAUUACUGGGCGUAAAGCGCGCGUACGUGGUUCGUUAAGUUGGAUGUGAAAGCCCCGGGAUCAACCUGGGAACUGCAUCCAAAACUGGGGAGCUAGAGUACUGUAGAGGGUGGUGGAAUUUCCUGUGUAGCGGUGAAAUGCGUAGAUAUAGGAAGGAACACCAGUGGCUAACGCGACCACCUGGACUGAUACUGACACUGAGGUGCGAAAGCGUGGGGAGCUAACAGGAUUAGAUACCCCGGUAGUCCACGCCGUAAACGAUGACAACUACGCGUUGGGUUCCUUGAGAACUAUUGGCGCACCUCACACAUUAACUUGACCCGCUGGGGAGUA
rnacentral:rRNA from 1 species